rnacentral:lncRNA from 1 species
GUGGGUUGCCGGCUUUACUUGGAGAAUGUAAAUUUCACGGCUAAAGAAAAUGGAAGUAACAAUUUGGUCUUUGAACUUUGACCUAUAGGUUGUUUCUCUUGUUUGGUAUUGUUUUUGUGGGCUUUAUAGUCAUUGCAGUUAUAUUCCUAUUAAUGUCUCUCUCUUGGAUUUAGAUUUGCCAUGUUGUGACAUCGUACUUUUGCACGAGAAAACAAAAUUUUCUUAUGCAAAAGUAAAUUUAAAAUUUUCUCUUUUUAACUUAUACUGUCAUUCUAAUAACUUAGGUUGAGUGUGAUAGUGAGUAAUUGAUCUUCUAUAAUUUUGAGUAGAUAUUCCAUCCAGUCAGCAUGGUUGGCAUAACUCUGUAGACAAAAUAAGUAAUUUUAAAAUUUUUCUGAGAGAUGGUCUUAUUAGUCAAAAUACCAGUCUAUAAUCACAUGCCAAAAUUAGACAUUUUUAUUGAUAAAAAUUGUCACGAAGAUUAUACAUCAUCAUCAUUCUUGCAGCAACAAUAGCAACAGAUUGAUCAUUUCUAUGACAGACAGACAGUAAUAAGCAUGUGAAAAAAAAAGAAUAUAGAAAUGAAAAAUACAAAAAUAAAUUAGGUGUAAGAAGAAUCUUGUUAUACAUAAGCUCCUUAACAGGAAAUAAUUUUAUUUUUUAAACAUUUUUAGCCUUUCUUUGAGACCCUAUUCUAGUGUUUAGGCAUCUUUUAGUCCUACCUAUUAGCUUAUCUGUUCUUAUGUUUGUUUUGUGUUCUUCAAUUCUAAACAAUAGAAUUAAAGAGCACAAAACGAACAUAAGAGCAGGUAACCUAAGUACUGCCUUAGCAGUUAAAGCCUAUGAAGAAGUUGUUAAUAUAUAUUGGAAUGAUAUCAAAGUAAUAAGACAUAUCGUGAACAGUAUAAGUGGCAAUACUGCCAAGGCCUUAGAAGUGGAAAAAUAAAAAUGAACGUAAUUAACAACAGUGAUCCUGAAAACCUCCCAAUGUCAUGGCAUUGGUGCACAAAAGCUAAUAUACAGCUAUUGCAUGAAGAUGAAAAGAUCAUAUAUAUAUAUAUAUAUAUA